GAUGAACGCUGGCGGCGUGCCUAAUACAUGCAAGUCGAGCGAACAGACGAGGAGCUUGCCCCUCUGACGUUAGCGGCGGACGGGUGAGUAACACGUGGAUAACCUACCUAUAAGACUGGGAUAACUUCGGGAAACCGGAGCUAAUACCGGAUAAUAUAUUGAACCGCAUGGUUCAAUAGUGAAAGACGGUUUUGCUGUCACUUAUAGAUGGAUCCGCGCCGCAUUAGCUAGUUGGUAAGGUAACGGCUUACCAAGGCAACGAUGCGUAGCCGACCUGAGAGGGUGAUCGGCCACACUGGAACGGAGACACGGUCCAGACUCCUACGGGAGGCAGCAGUAGGGAAUCUUCCGCAAUGGGCGAAAGCUUGACGGAGCAACGCCGCGUGAGUGAUGAAGGUCUUCGGAUCGUAAAACUCUGUUAUUAGGGAAGAACAAAUGUGUAAGUAACUAUGCACGUCUUGACGGUACCUAAUCAGAAAGCCACGGCUAACUACGUG
rnacentral:rRNA from 1 species